GGAAGCUGCUGGCUUAUUCUGGCAGCUCAGCUCCGUUGGAGGAAUGCUGCUGGCAUUCGGGAACCUGGAAGUGGGCCCAGAGAGGUGAAGGAGCUACCCAGCGUCACACAGCUAGCAAGUGCUGUCACUCAGACUUCCAACCCAACUAUGACCUCAUAUCCCUAAAGCCUGUACCUUGCCCUGCCUCUCGACUCAAAAGCAGAGCUAAACCAAGCUCAGCAGAAACAAAAGGUUCAAUUCUCCCAACAUCAAAUGCAACACCUGAGCUUUCUUUCAGGAGGUCCACCCCUUGAGAUGCCCCUUGCGCUUUACCCAAAGGAACUGAGUGAAACUUUACAUUAGACUCAUCCAGCCCCCCUCAGUACUGACUGGGGCCCAGAGAAAGCGCCCCUCCCCCUAGGAACCUCCAGCAAGGAGAUUCCGCUUGACCAUCUCUAAAAUGCUCUCUAAAAUGCGCCUUUUACAUUUCUUGAAAUCUGUGGUUCUCAGCCAGGGGCGAUUUUGCCCACCACCUGGGGGAGCAGGGUGGGGGUCUUUGGCAAUGUCUGGAGAGUUUUAGACUGCCACCACUGCGAUGGGGGCAGAUCCAGCAUGUAAUGGGAGGUCAGGGAUACUGCGGAAUACCUAGCGUCCACGGGAGAGCCCCCACACAACUAGGAAUUAUCGGAUCCAAAAGGCCCAUUGUGCUGGGGCUGGGAAUCCUUGGCUUAAAUGAAAGGGAAACCAUUUGCCUCUGGAUGAAAAAGCCAGCACAGGCCUAAACAAGUAGGUUCCUUGGUGAUAUUAAUAAGCAAUGAGCUAAUAAAAAUAGAUUAAAA